rnacentral:lncRNA from 1 species
GCGACCCCGUCAUCUGAGACAGGCGGCCCUCUGCGCCUGGCGCGUGCUUCCUCCCCGGACGUCUCUCGCGAAGGAAAGAACCCGCCCAAAGGGCUGCGGCCUCGCCAGCCGAGAGGCCCCUGCUGCACCCCGCGCCCCCACACCGCACUCCCCGCCUUCCGGAGGGUGGGCCGGCCUCAGUACCCUGCCCUCCGGCUGCGGCGAGAGGGGCGAGGCGGGGCGCGUGCGGUUGGAGGGCGCGGAGGGCGGGCUCGCGGGGCCGCGCGGCGGGAGGUAGCUCCGCCCGGAGACAGGUGCGCGGCGGCGCCAGCAGGCUUCCCGGCCGGCGGCUCGCUGGGAGGCCUCAGGCCUGGGCUCCACUCUAGGGCGGAGGCGGGCCCCGCUCGCCGUGGCGCUCCUUUUCCCUUUUCUGGCCGAGGGCCGCGGGCGGAGCGGGGAAAGCUGCCCUCGCCCCCGCAACCCCGAGGGGCCAGGACUGAGGUAAGCUCCGGCCACGGGCGCAACGGGCCCGGCCCCGAGUCGGUUCCUGCGGAACCGCACCCGUCACAGCCCAGAGGCUCCGCGGUCGAAGAGGCGCCUCGGCUCCCCCAGGCUCCAGGCUCGGUCCUGGUUCCUGGCAGCCGAAAACCGCCACGCACUUCCGCCGACAGGAGCAGCGAUCUCCACUCACCUGCGGCCCAGACUCGAGGCUCGCGAGGCCGCGAGGGCGGAGCGGCUCACCUGGGCCAGGUGCGCAGCGGCGACAGCCCCAGCGACGGCGGCAGGUGCGGCCCCGCCCAGCGGCCGGGGCGAGGGCGGACCCGUGUCUCACUUUGCGCCCGCAGGCUGGUUGGUGCUCAAAAAUGUCCUGCGCUCAGCCCUGUGGAGCCGCGGCCUCCUGGCCUGGAGGCAGAGGCCAAACCGGCCCAACCAACCCGGACAGUCUUGGUGCCCCAGGGACUUCUUGGAAAUUCCGCCGCCCCCAGGGGCACUGCGGCAGUUCGGCCUCUCCGCCCAAGCUCUUCCUCUUCCUCCAGGAAGCCCGCCUUGACUCCUGCCCCUAAUAGGUGCAGGCACUCCUCAUUUUUCCGUGGAAGCCCACGGAAAACCAGAGGAGAGCGGGAGGUUACUGCAUUCCAGGCCUUUCCCCAUCUGGACCUCAGUUUCCCAGCUAACGCUGUUGUUCAGUCGCUAAGUCAGGUCCCACCCUUUUCUACCUCAUGGACUGCAACACAAGUCAGGCUCCCCUGUCCUCCACCAUCUCCCAGAAUUUGUUCAGAUACCUGUCCAUUGAGUUGGUGA